rnacentral:lncRNA from 1 species
CUAACAUAAUAUACUUUUCUAGCAGAAGAGAGGUGGUAAUACUUUAUAGCAGUUAUACUACUAUAAUACUAACAUGUUAUACUAGUAUAGCAGUAAUACUACUAUAAUACUAACAUGAUAUACUGGUAUAGCAGGAGAGAUGAGGAGAGAAUCAUCAUAAAGAUACAUAUUAAUAUAUGUAUAUUCUUGUUAUAUUAUGUAUAUUCAGUUAUAUUACAAUAAUACAGAGGAGAGGUAGUUUAGCUGAGAAGAGAUGGGAAAGAUUAACACUGCAUCUAAUUCCUCUCUCUCUCUCGCUCUGUCUCUCAUCCCCCUCUCUCUACAGAUGGCGGACACCAUUGACAUCAACUUCCAGAGCGACUUGAUGGUCAUCUUUGAAGAGAACCUUUUCUGAGAGAGAGAUUGAGAAAGGAGGAGAGGGAGAGAAAGAGAUAUGAACUCUACCUUAUCCCACCAUGGCUGGGAUUUCACACACAACACCCUCCCUCCCUCUGAUUAGAGACCCCAGACCAGGAUGUGAGCUCCAGAGACUUGAAGGAGACUGAGGUGAGGUACAGUAAUAAGGAGAUGCCCUCCCUCCCUCUGAUUAGAGACCCCAGACCAGGAUGUGAGCUCCAGAGACUUGAAGGAGACUGAGGUGAGGUACAGUAAUAAGGAGUAGCCCUCCCUCCCUCUGAUUAGAGACCCCAGACCAGGAUGUGAGCUCCAGAGACUUGAAGGAGACUGAGGUGAGGUACAGUAAUAAGGAGAUGCCCUCCCUCCCUCUGAUUAGAGACCCCAGACCAGGAUGUGAGCUCCAGAGACUUGAAGGAGACUGAGGUGAGGUACAGUAAUAAGGAGUAGCCCUCCCUCCCUCCCUCUGAUUAGAGACCCCAGACCAGGAUGUGAGCUCCAGAGACUUGAAGGAGACUGAGGUGAGGUACAGUAAUAAGGAGUAGCCCUCCCUCCCUCUGAUUAGAGACCCCAGACCAGGAUGUGAGCUCCAGAGACUUGAAGGAGACUGAGGUGAGGUACAGUAAUAAGGAGUAGCCCUCCCUCCCUCCCUCUGAUUAGAGACCCCAGACCAGGAUGUGAGCUCCAGAGACUUGAAGGAGACUGAGGUGAGGUACAGUAAUAAGGAGAAGCCCUCCCUCCCUCUGAUUAGAGACCCCAGACCAGGAUGUGAGCUCCAGAGACUUGAAGGAGACUGAGGUACAGUAAUAAGGAGUAGCCCUCCCUCCCUCUGAUUAGAGACCCCAGACCAGGAUGUGAGCUCCAGAGACUUGAAGGAGACUGAGGUGAGGUACAGUAAUAAGGAGAUGCCCUCCCUCCCUCCCUCUGAUUAGAGACCCCAGACCAGGAUGUGAGCUCCAGAGACUUGAAGGAGACUGAGGUGAGGUACAGUAAUAAGGAGAAGCCUCCCCCCCUUAGCGGUGGGGACCGGGAGUACAACUUCCACUUUUUGCAAUUUCAGAUGCGUUUUUUUGUGUCUAACUGCCCGUUUAUCGUUGAUGAUUGGUGGUUGCCGUGGGCAAUGGUGAAACCGGAUACCUAUGGAUAAACAGAUAUGUGAACUCCUCUUGUAUUCUGAAAUGAAACCGGAGGGAGGAGGGGAGGACUGAGAACUAUUACCUGAACAUAAAGAAUAAAAAGAGGGUUUAAUGGAGAAAGAAGAUGUGAACACCUUCUAACGUGCGAGAGGGAGGGCCGGGCGAACGAGAGGAUGGACAGACUUCUUUCUCUUUGAUUCAUUUCUCUCUUAAUCUAGAAUUUUUCUCUCCCUGUUUUUUGAUGUUGGGUUUUAUUAAGCGGGGUGGGUGAGGAGAUGGGGGAGGGAGAAGUGGGCCGGCUGUGUGUGUUACCAUGUUUACGUCCCAAAAGGGCACCCUAUUCCCUUCAUAUAGUGCACUACUUGUGUCCAGGGCCCAUGGGGAUCUGAUCAAAAGUGGUGCGCUAUAUAGGGAGUAGGGUGCCAUUUGGGACUUAUCCUCUGAGAUGGGUUCAGUUUCUCUCCGGACAGCAAGAUGAACACCGGGCUCACACCCCAGCACUAUAAAGAAGCACCCUUCCUUCCUUCCUUCCUUCCUUCUUACUCUCCUUGUCCUUUGUGACAUCACUGACUUGACACAACUUGAAAGUGUAAAAGCUUGAACUCCAUUUUUUCAGUCAUAUCUGAUUCAUUGAUUAUUUCAAGAAAGGAGGCAGAGAGGGAAGAAAGGAGGCAGAGAGGGAGGGAAGGAAGGAGGGAACGAGGGGAAAAAGAGGAAGGAUGAGUGAAGAGAGGAGGGAGAGAGGGAAGGAAGGAGGGAACGAGGGGAAAAAGAGGAAGGAUGAGUGAAGAGAGGAGGGAGAGAGGGAAGGAAGGAGGGAACGAGGGGAAAAGAGGAAGGAUGAGAAGAGGGGGAGGGCGGGGUACAUUUUAAAGGUGUUGGAAUGUGGCUCUUGCCUUACAGCUCUGACCUGUAAAUGAACACACGCCACUGAUAUAUAUAUAUAUAAAUAAAUAAAUAAAUAUUAUAUACGAUGAAAAGUCCCUAAAAAUAAUUGGAUUAUGUUGUUGGGAGGGAGAACGGCUAAUCUGCCUUGUGCUCAAUUCCCUUUUGGUUUUUUAGAGAAUUGAC